CAUUUUCUCAAUCGAGGCUCCCUCCUCUCUGAAGAUUCUAGCAUGUGUCAGGUUGGCAUAAAACUAGCCAGUUCACCUGCCUUACUCCUUCCCAGCCCCACUCACCGCCUGUCCAUAUACACUGUUGGGAUCUAAUUUCCAAAACCCAGUUUGCAUGUCCACUCUCCUAAGUCUAGUAGUCCACUCCCAGGAAGACUGACUAAGAAAUUGUUCCUAACCUUCCUUCUGGUUUACCAAAUCCUUCUAGAAAGAGUACAAACCAGUAAGAAAUCAAACAGGGAAUAAUCCACAGAAUAAAUGCUUAGAGAUAAAAACAUAUUUGUGUUUAGUUGAUUUUCCUAUCCCUUUCCCCAUAAUUUUGCAAAGGGACUGAUGAAGUCAGAUUUCAGUAAUUAUGUCCCAGUAGUCUCAGGUGGGAAAAUGUAAAAUGACUAAAAAGAGACCAGAAUUAGCCUGGGCUAGGCCUCAAGGCAUAGACAGCAGGAUGGUGAGAUACUGAAUAGCCUGUCCCAUACCUCCACAGGGGGCUGACCCUGAGAGACCCCUAGAGCCCUGGCCCGCCCCUCUCCCCAUUCCCAUCCAGGAAGGCUCUCUGGGAAGAAGGCAGGUCAGGAGCCUAAGUGACCUUUCACACCUCAGACAAGCUAAGUUUGUUUUCUGCCUUUCUGUCCAGGGCUCAGAUGGGGGGUGGGGAGGGUGGGGUGGGCCUUUUCUAUUCUCUUGGUACAAAUACCCCAGAGGAGCUGAAGUGGAGGGAGUAAAGGAUCUAUUUAUUUUGGCUCAGGAGGGACAAUGUAAGCAGAUGGUCUUUGAUGGGAUUAGCGGCGUAAUCUCUAAGACCCUGGUAAAUUGGAAAAUGAUCCAUUAUAUUCCAGAACCUUUGGCGGCUUCAGCUCCUGGGGAGGGAGGGGCAGGCCGAGGGGCACCUUGUUAGAACGGACCCCUCUGGGAGCAGCGGAAUCCUGCACUGGAGAACUAGGGAGGAGGGGGUCUUAGGCUCUUCCUGGCCCCUUAGCCUCACUUUUCUUCUGCAUGUGCUGGAUGGUCCUCAAAGCCAUCUCUGGCAGCUCAGGGUCUGGGGGUGGGGGUGGAAGGGAAGACAAUGCUAUUGCAUUUCUUGCCUUGGAGGAGAAGAACAUUCUUAGAAUUCAAAGUCUGUGUUCUCUGGUGCAUUUGCUGUAGCCCAAGCCCAUCUCCUUCUCCCAACAGCCCUCAGGGGAGAGCAUUGGCUACUGGGGCUGCAAUUGGGGAACCCAGGAAGAGAAGGGCCUGGAAGGUUUCCCCUCUAAACAGAUCCAGAAAUGGUGAGAUUGUGGGUGCUGAGGGACGUUAACUCACACAAGUUAUCUGUGGGCCCCAUUUCUGCCGCCUUCUACAGUUCACAGAGGAAGUUGGAUUACUGAAUUUCACUGAGGAGGCACUGGAAGGACCAGAGACAGACCUGCUGGGUGAUUUCCCUGAGGUCAUCCAGGGCUGCGGGAACCUCUGCCCAGACCCCGGGAGAGUGACCACGAGCCCGCCGCGGACGCAGCUCUCUCACCCAACAGCAAAGACCCGGAGGGCCCGGAGAGUUGCUCAGGUUUCAAGGAAAAUGAAAUGACCCAAUACUGGAGUCCAGGUUGCUCGGCUGCGGGCUGAAUCCCUGGGUGCUGCAGGAGAUCGACCUGCGGGGCCUGGGACACCGUCGGCGGAUCCGGACCCGGGGCAAGCUCGCAGAACCAGUCCCAGGGGCGGCUCACCCAGCCCUAACCUUGGGAUGGGGGCCCAGACCGACCGCGGGGGGCGCAGCGUCCGGGAGAACCUAGUCGCUGGAGACGAAAGCGUGGGAGCGGCUGCGCUCCGGGCCCCGGCGUCCUUAUCCCCAGACCAAGCCUCCCGGCCAUCACCCGAACACCGCGGGACGCCACGCAGCCGGCUGAGGGUUCAAGCCUUUGGCGCCCUUUCCGCGCGCCCCACCGCGCCCAGGGCUUGGGCGGCUAUUAGUGCUCUUCGUCCGAGCGAGGUGCAGCGAGCGAGCAAGCAACUAGGCUCCCGCCGCGCCCCAAGAGGUCCGCCCGUCCAGGGCAGGUGUAUCCCUGUCCCCUCUGCCCUUUCCAGCCGGGCUUCCUGCGUGGAAUUUUAACGCAAACGUGUCUCUGGUAGUCUUUCUUCUUGCUUCAUUUAGAAUUGUUGUCUCUUCUUUUAAUGUUUUAUUUCUUUCCAGGUAGAUGUUCUAGGGUUGGUUUUUUGUUUUUCUUUUUGUUUUUUUAAUCUGUUUCCCGGUGUCUGCCCACUCCCCCAAAUCUCUCUCUCAUCUCUUUCAUCCCCUUGCUCGCUGGUCAAGGCUCUUUGAUUUCUCUCUCCUCCCCACUUCAGGGACAGGACUCUCUUAGAGACCCACGUACCACCAUAUGGGUGUGGUGAGGAAGAGCAGGUCAACGAUGGACAACCUCUCACUCCCACAGACACUCAAGCUCGGUGCUCCCACAGUUCACUCUCCCACACAGGGCACCUGUGACCGGUCCACGUCACGCACUGUUCAUUUACAUGGACUUUGCUGAACUCAGAAGCUGAACCCAGCUGGGGGGGGGUCGGGAGGGAGCACACAGAGGGGCUUGCAGGCUAGUCUUCCUGGAACAGAGCUGUGCCUCCUCAGGGUGGGGGUCAGGGUGUCUUUAGGUCCACAAGCCCUUGCCCCUAUACCUGGGAGCUCCACAGCAAACUCAAGCCAACUUCCCACGCGUGACGCACACCCACACACCUCUAAUCAGAAUGUUACACGAAGCCCCAAACUGCACGCACAGAACUGUACACUCAAUAGGAUGCAUAUUCCCAUCAGUACACACAGGCUUGCACUGAGAAUGUACAUGAGCUGCGGACAGAUAAACAGAUAAACCUCACACCCAGGAAGGGGGCAUGUUUCUGUGUCAGGGUGACACUGGGUGCAUAACUUGGUAGGGACAUGGAUAGAACACCUACAUAUACCCACUCGGAUUCAUUUCUUCUGCAAAACUGGGACUGAGGUUGGAGAAGAGUGCCCAAACCUCAGAAGUGAAUAUUAUAACUAAAACAAUUCUGCUGCAUCAAACACAGCUGGCGUUUGACCAGGGUCCCCAAGAGGAGAUCUCUUUAUGUGAAAACAAGAGGUGCAUACGGUUCUAGGAACAAUAUGUACAGAUGUCUCGCUCCUGACACAUAGACAGAGAGAUAAAGAACAGGACAUCCUUGUGCAGCUUCAGGGUACCCAUAACAAGCUGCCAUGCUAGCUUUGCUUCUCGCUCCAGGAUGGAGGACGCUGGUGCCUUGGGAGCUGCGUGGUUAUGACAGUUUAUCAUUGGUUCUUGUAGAGGUAACACAAACCACCAACUGGGGGCAUUUGGGCUGCUUAGGGAGAGACUCUGGGGGUGAAGGGCUAUACCUCUGGGUCUCAGGUUCCAAAUGUCAGCGAGAGUGGUAGCCAGACAUGCCUGGCUAAUGUAUACAGACUAAAAAUGUAUGCAGCUGGUCCCAGGGACACAGGCACACAAAGGUCCUGCAGAAGACCAGCAGUGUGAGUUACUGAUGUCCACUCUAACUGCUCAGAGGAGCAGUGGGAGAAAAGAUGAGGGCACAAGAUAUUUACUUGCGUACACAGCUCCAGCUCCGGGAGUUUGUGGUUCAGUUAUAGGGGAGGGCUACGGAGAUGGGAGAGCAUACACAGAGAUAGAUACAGCAUACAUAGCACCUGUGUGGCGCCAGUGCGGGAAAGGCGUCCUUGGGUAAGUCACUUGAAUAGUGACUCUGGGUUUGUAAAGCACAGGACAUGCUUGGUGACAUUGCAACUCCGCUCUCUAGCUCCCUGACUGAACAGAAGGAAGGGCAAAGCAGAAGAAAGGAUCCUAAGAAACGAUCCUAUCCAACCUCUCUCCUGUGGGCUGGAAACCCAAAGGGGCUGGCUAACAACAGUCUGCAGGCGCUCUGUCCUGUCCUCCGCUGGGCUCCCGUGCCUCCCAGCUUUACUCGAGUUCCCUAGGAAGUUUGUCUUUCCUGACUCUGUUUUCCCAUCUUCCUGCCUCUGCCUCCUCAGCUCUCUCACUGAGCACAGCCACAGAGAACCUGCUGGAUGCAGGACUGAAGGCCAAUAGAGAUGCUCAAGGUGGCUGUGAAGUGACAAACCCUGUAGGAACGCAGGGUUUUUGUUUGUUUUGUUUUGUUUUGUUUUUCUGCACAGACAUCGGAAUAAAACCUGAGCUUGCUUCCUUCCA
rnacentral:sRNA from 1 species